GAGGAAAAGAAACCAACAGGGAUUGCCUCAGUAACGGCGAGUGAAGCGGCAAAAGCUCAAAUUUGAAAUCUAGCACCUUCGGUGUUUGAGUUGUAAUUUGAAGAUGGUAACCUUGGGUUUGGCUCUUGUCUAUGUUCCUUGGAACAGGACGUCAUAGAGGGUGAGAAUCCCGUCUGAUGAGAUGCCCAUUCCUAUGUAAGGUGCUAUCGAAGAGUCGAGUUGUUUGGGAAUGCAGCUCUAAGUGGGUGGUAAAUUCCAUCUAAAGCUAAAUAUUGGCGAGAGACCGAUAGCGAACAAGUACAGUGAUGGAAAGAUGAAAAGAACUUUGAAAAGAGAGUGAAAAAGUACGUGAAAUUGUUGAAAGGGAAGGGCAUUAGAUCAGACUUGGUGUUUUACGAUUAUCUUCUCUUCUUGAGUUGUGCACUCGUAUUUCACUGGGCCAGCAUCGAUUCGGAUGGCAAGAUAAUGGCAGUUGAAUGUGGCUUCACUUCGGUGGAGUGUUAUAGCUUCUGCUGAUAUUGCCUGUCUGGAUCGAGGGCUGCGUCUUUUGACUAGGAUGCUGGCGUAAUGAUCUAAUGCCGCCCGUCUU
rnacentral:rRNA from 1 species